rnacentral:rRNA from 1 species
ACGAACGCUGGCGGCGUGCUUCACACAUGCAAGUCGAACGGAAAGGCCCUGCUUUUGUGGGGUGCUCGAGUGGCGAACGGGUGAGUAACACGUGAGUAACCUGCCCUUGACUUUGGGAUAACUUCAGGAAACUGGGACUAAUACCGGAUAGGAGCUCCUGCUGCAUGGUGGGGGUUGGAAAGUUUCGGCGGUUGGGGAUGGACUCGCGGCUUAUCAGCUUGUUGGUGGGGUAGUGGCUUACCAAGGCUUUGACGGGUAGCCGGCCUGAGAGGGUGACCGGCCACAUUGGGACUGAGAUACGGCCCAGACUCCUACGGGAGGCAGCAGUGGGGAAUAUUGCACAAUGGGCGGAAGCCUGAUGCAGCAACGCCGCGUGCGGGAUGACGGCCUUCGGGUUGUAAACCGCUUUCGCCUGUGACGAAGCGUGAGUGACGGUAAUGGGUAAAGAAGCACCGGCUAACUACGUG